GACGAACGCUGGCGGCGUGCCUAAUACAUGCAAGUUGAGCGAUGAAGAUUGGUGCUUGCGCCAAUUUGAAGAGCAGCGAACGGGUGAGUAACGCGUGGGGAAUCUGCCUUUGAGCGGGGUACAACAUUUGGAAACGAAUGCUAAUACCGCAUAACAACUUUAAACAUAAGUUUUAAGUUUGAAAGAUGCAAUUGCAUCACUCAAACAUGAUCCCGCGUUGUAUUAGCUAGUUGGUGAGGUAAAGGCUCACCAAGGCGAGGAUACAGAGCCGACCUGAGAGGGCGGUCAGCCACACUGGGAGGGAGACACGGCCCAAACGCAUACAGGAGGGGGCAGUAGGGAAUCUUGGGCAAUGGACGAAAGUCUUAGCGAGCAACGCGGAGUGAGGGAAGAAGAAUUCCGGGUCGGAGAACUCUGUUGGUAGAGAAGAACGUGGGUGCGAGUGGGAAGCUCAGCAAGUGACGGUAACUACCCAGAAAGGGACGGCUAACUACGUG
rnacentral:rRNA from 1 species